UAUUGCACAAUGGGGGAAACCCUGAUGCAGCGACGCCGCGUGGGUGACGAAGUAUUUCGGUANGUAAAGCCCUAUCAGCAGGGAANNCGNNNANAGUACCUGACUAAGAAGCCCCGGCUAACUACGUGCCNNNANCGGCGGUAAUACGUAGGGGGCAAGCGUUAUCCGGAUUUACUGGGUGUAAAGGGAGCGCAGGUGGCAUGGCAAGCCAGAAGUGAAAACCCGGGGCUUAACCCCGCGGAUUGCUUUUGGAACUGUCAGGCUGGAGUGCAGGAGGGGCAGGCGGAAUUCCUGGUGUAGCGGUGAAAUGCGUAGAUAUCAGGAGGAACACCGGUGGCGAAGGCGGCCUGCUGGACUGUAACUGACACUGAGGCUCGAAAGCGUGGGGAGCAAACAGG
rnacentral:rRNA from 1 species